AACGAACGCUGGCGGCAGGCCUAACACAUGCAAGUCGAACGCUCUCUUCGGAGGGAGUGGCAGACGGGUGAGUAACGCGUGGGAACCUACCUAGUGGUACGGAAUAACUCGGGGAAACCCGUGCUAAUACCGUAUGUGCCCGAUAGGGGAAAGAUUUAUCGCCAUUAGAUGGGCCCGCGUCGGAUUAGCUUGUUGGUGAGGUAAUGGCUCACCAAGGCGACGAUCCGUAGCUGGUCUGAGAGGAUGAUCAGCCACACUGGGACUGAGACACGGCCCAGACUCCUACGGGAGGCAGCAGUGGGGAAUAUUGGACAAUGGGCGCAAGCCUGAUCCAGCCAUGCCGCGUGAGUGACGAAGGCCUUAGGGUUGUAAAGCUCUUUUGGCGGGGACGAUAAUGACGGUACCCGCAGAAUAAGCCCCGGCUAACUUCG
rnacentral:rRNA from 1 species